rnacentral:lncRNA from 1 species
GGGUUAUAAUUUUUAUAAUUUUGUAUUUAUGAUUUUGUUAUAUAUGAGACUGUUUAUAUUUGCAUUAUUUUUGUAAUUAUUUUUAUACUAUCAAUAUUGGUAUUAAUAUUAAUUAUGUACAAAUAUUAUAUUGAUAUGGAUAAUACUAAUUAUAUAAUAUUAUCAUGGAAGACCAGCAACUCUUAUUAGAUUAAUAACAAUAUAAAUAUAUAUUUUAUACUAUAUAUCAUAUUAAUAACAUAUUAUAUUUUGCAUUAUAUUGUCAAUAAUAUUGUUAUAAUAUCAUAAUGCAUGGCAUAGGUUAAUUUCAUUAUUUUAUUAUCAUUAUAGCAAAUUUAAUAUUAGUUUGAAUAUUAUUAUAAUAUAAUAUUAUAUUAAUAUUAGUAGUUUAGAUAUAUAAUGUUAUAUAAUAGAACAUUAAUAUUUUAAAAUAAGAUUAAAAUUUCUAUAUUCCUAUUAGUAAUAUUUAUAUUGUGAAUAAUAACAUUAUGGGUAUUAGUAACAUACUAUUGAUAAUACAACUUUAAAAAAUAAUAUUAAUAAUAGUAAUAUUGUUAGUUAUAAUGAUAUAUUAAAUUAUUUGCUGCCGGGCUUUCUUCAUUCCUAGAGAUUACCUGGACUGAUCUUGCACAAGAACUGAAAUCAAUCAUUCUUGAUGAUUCCAUGGAAUAUAUUUCCCAGGAUUGGGGAAGUCAAUCCUGAUUUCCAUUCAUAACAACAAACGAAAUCUGCUUCAGCUGUUUCUAUGCGCUCAUGGAACCAGUCCUACUGGUAAGCAAAGAUAUAAAUAAACAGAUAGACAUAAAUAGAUACAUAAAAACAAAAACUCAGAAUCCUAAGUGAAUUAGAAUGCCCAUCAUGAACCAAAAAAAGGGCUGCACUUUCUAUAUUUUUCUCAGAAAACAAGGCAUAUAGAGCCUGAUAAUUCCAUAAUGAAUAGCAUAGUUCAGUUAACCAUCUGAUUUAUGUCUCAUGUAAAGAUAACAGAAUUAAGUUUCAAUAAAUAAGUUAUUUUCACAUGUUUUGCGAUUAGCAUAUGCCCCAGGUAACUGAACUACACAUUUUUUCACAAUUUUGAUUGGAUAGUUGACGCCUUCAUGCAUAGGGAAUAUAUUCAGACAAUGUGAUAACCAGAACUUAGAUCAAGUCUCCCCUAAAAAUUACAAAUUACAUACAUAUUACUCUUUUGCUUAAAAUGCAUAAAAAUGGUAAAAAAUGAGAUGGUAAGUUAUUUCUAUUUAUAUGAUCAUUUGUGUGAAAUUGGACAAUUGUUGCAAGUGUCCUGCUUAUCAAUAGCAUUCCUUCAAUCAAAUGUCUCUUCUAUAAGACUAGAUGCCUAGCAGCAGUGACCUCAAAUGUAGCAAUUUGCAUUGAAGGUUCCAAUGGGCUGAUAAAUGUUCAGUUCAUCCCAAAAUUCUCUCAGUUGACAACAAUACUCACUUAAUGACUUGUUUUCCUUGUUGCAUCUUGAAAAUCUGCUCAUAAAUCUCAUAUACGUGAGAUAUUCUUUUCUGAAUGAAUACAUCUCCCUUGCAGUCUUCCAAAUCUCCUUAGCUGUAUAUAAAACAUGAGAUUGCUAAUUAUAUGUGGCUCCAUGCUAUUUCAUAACAAUGUCAUAACUUGACUAUUUUCUUUUUUCCACUCCACUUUUUUCAUUAUUGGAAGGAUUUUUGGUAAGACACUGAUGCAUCUUGUUUGCUUUCAAAAAUAAUUCAAUUUCUUUCGCCUAUUGAAGAAAGUUUUUGUUCUUCAUAACUUCCAAGUGUCAUCUGCUAUCCAAGAAUAUCUUCCACGGAGAUUCCAAUUUUCUAUCAUUUCCAUCUCCCAAGUACAGUAUUUCAACCAGAAAUAAUAGAUGGCCCCGAAGGAGUAUGUGAAUAAUAAAGAAACUAUUUCAGAACAGGUCAUAAACAAAGCAAGAUUUAUGAGACAAAACCAGCAAUUCAUCUACAGAAUUCUGCACUUCAAAUGCAGCAAACCACUGUUCUGCUUAUCUGAACUGAAAGAAAGGUUUUUCCAAUCAUGCUACCGUCCAAACAGACAUCCACAUAUGUGUUUUUGUUCUCAAGAACAAACCAGCUCAUUGCUGUCAACAUCCGUCAUCUAUACAACCCUUUUUCAAUGGCAUCACUUGCUUCAAUUGAGAAAGAAUGUUAGAAAAAACUCAUAGAAACUUCAAUGGAACAAUUGAAUCCCACAUAUGAUUUAAUAUGUCUUCCUUUCAGCACAACAGCAUUUCUACUUCAUACAGAUCACCGAGAUAAUUUGGGAAUCAAAGGAUUAGGGUGUGAACGAUCAAUCUGAUCAAUCUGAUCAAACCUGGCUCUAAUACCAUGCUGAGUCAUCAAAUUACCCCAAAAGCUUAAGAUAAUAGGGAAAGAGGCAAUAAGGUAUGCCAGGCUUAACAGUAGAAUCAUGUAAUUGGUUCUAAUUUAGAGCAUACAAACUAUAAGAAAAUGAAAUACUUGAUGUCAUUGUUAACAAUGUAGGUAUAAUAAUUUGCCUUAAACUUCCAUUUGUGUUUUCGAUAUCUAUGUUGAUCAAAGUGCUUACACAUAAGGACUCAAAUCUUGAGGAUUGCUACCAUACUAAUGGCCAGUCAGUAACGAAUGAUUCUCAAUAUGGGAGCAAGAUGCCUCAAGACACCUUGUAUAAAUAAGCAAAACAAAUAGAAGAAGCAUACAAGGAGUACAAGGUUGAUAUGCCUUGAUGUGCAAUGUAACAUGUGCAAUAUGGCCUUGGUUCACCCAUUACUGGUAUGUUCUAGCCCUUAUUCUAGUAUCUUAUUGUAGUAGGGUAUGCAUCAGGUGAUAUUGGGUGCUGGAAUCAGAUGUCGACCCUUGCUUUCACAUGUUGAACCAGUAACUAGGUUUGUUUUUCAGACUCG